rnacentral:rRNA from 1 species
GACGAACGCUGGCGGCGUGCUUAACACAUGCAAGUCGAACGGAAAGGCCCUGCUUUUGUGGGGUGCUCGAGUGGCGAACGGGUGAGUAACACGUGAGUAACCUGCCCUUGACUUUGGGAUAACUUCAGGAAACUGGGGCUAAUAUCGGAUAGGAGCUCCUGCUGCAUGGUGGGGGUUGGAAAGUUUCGGCGGUUGGGGAUGGACUCGCGGCUUAUCAGCUUGUUGGUGGGGUAGUGGCUUACCAAGGCUUUGACGGGUAGCCGGCCUGAGAGGGUGACCGGCCACAUUGGGACUGAGAUACGGCCCAGACUCCUACGGGAGGCAGCAGUGGGGAGUAUUGCACAGUGGGCGGAAGCCUGAUGCAGCAACGCCGCGUGCGGGAUGACGGCCUUCGGGUUGUAAACCGCUUUCGCCUGUGACGAAGCGUGAGUGACGGUAAUGGGUAAAGAAGCACCGGCUAACUACGUG